rnacentral:misc_RNA from 1 species
GAAAUGCGAUAAGUAAUGUGAAUUGCAGAAUUCAGUGAAUCAUCGAAUCUUUGAACGCACAUUGCGCCCGCCAGUAUUCUGGCGGGCAUGCCUGUUCGAGCGUCAUUACAACCCUCAGGCCCCCGGGCCUGGCGUUGGGGAUCGGCGGAAGCCCCCUGCGGGCACAACGCCGUCCCCCAAAUACAGUGGCGGUCCCGCCGCAGCUUCCAUUGCGUAGUAGCUAACACCUCGCAACUGGAGAGCGGCGCGGCCACGCCGUAAAACAUCCAACUUCUGAAUGUUGACCUCGAAUCAGGUAGGAAUACCCGCUGAACUUAAGC